UACGUAGGGUGCAAGCGUUGUCCGGAAUUAUUGGGCGUAAAGAGCUCGUAGGCGGUCUGUCGCGUCGGAUGUGAAAAUCCAAGGGCUCAACCCUGGACCUGCAUUCGAUACGGGCAGACUAGAGUUCGGCAGGGGAGACUGGAAUUCCUGGUGUAGCGGUGAAAUGCGCAGAUAUCAGGAGGAACACCGGUGGCGAAGGCGGGUCUCUGGGCCGAUACUGACGCUGAGGAGCGAAAGCGUGGGGAGCAAACAGG
rnacentral:rRNA from 1 species